GAUUCUGUGGCGGAACUGGUAUACGCAACAGGCUCAAACCCUGUGGUUGAAAAACAUGUGGGUUCAAAUCCCACCAGAAUUA
rnacentral:tRNA from 1 species